CUUUUGCAGUCGAGUAGGAAUCAAGGCUGGAGAUCAAUGGUCUAAAAGGCCUUCUCGACUGCCUGCACACUGGGAAUGAUCGCUGCUUUUAAAUAUCACAUCCUCCUGGUUGCGAGGCAAGAAAACCUCACAGAAUUAAUAACUAAACUAAAAAAAAGACUCCAGUCCAGAUCCACUGCUAAUUCAUGCUUUCCUACCAUGAUUUAUUUUUUUUUUUGGACGCCCCAUGACUUGAACAUGCAAACCAUUUAGGACUCACUCCAUUCAAGAGUCCCGUCAAUCUGUUAAAGUCGCACAAGCACAAGCACAUGCACACGCACAUGCGCUGUCCUCUAGCUGCACACUAUGCUUGCCUUCUCCAUGGUGACUCAGGUCGAUGGCAAAAACAAAGAUCAAACAGUGGUCCGUUUGGCCUGCUCUUGGUGGCCCGGGGGCACUGAAUAAAGCACAGCAGAAAGAGGAGGCCGGAGCAGAACCGCAGGGCGCCAUUGUUGCUCUGCUCACACUGCAAGCUAAGCGGGAGAUGGCAGGACUGCAGGGGUCAAAUAAAACCGCACAAACACUCCAGAGCUGCUGUGGUCGUGGACUAAAAGUGGACUUUUUCUCUUUUUCAGGCUGAU
ensembl:lncRNA